GUCUCUGUGGCGCAAUUAUUUAGCGCGUUCAGCUGUUAACUGAAAGGUUGGUGGUUCAAGCCCACCCAGGGAAG
rnacentral:tRNA from 1 species